rnacentral:rRNA from 1 species
GAUGAACGCUGGCGGCGUGCCUAAUACAUGCAAGUCGAGCGAACAGACGAGGAGCUUGCUCCUCUGACGUUAGCGGCGGACGGGUGAGUAACACGUGGAUAACCUACCUAUAAGACUGGGAUAACUUCGGGAAACCGGAGCUAAUACCGGAUCAUAUAUUGAACCGCAUGGUUCAAUAGUGAAAGACGGUUUUGCUGUCCCUUAUAGAUGGAUCCGCGCCGCAUUAGCUAGUUGGUAAGGUAACGGCUUACCAAGGCAACGAUGCGUAGCCGACCUGAGAGGGUGAUCGGCCACACUGGAACUGAGACACGGUCCAGACUCCUACGGGAGGCAGCAGUAGGGAAUCUUCCGCAAUGGGCGAAAGCCUGACGGAGCAACGCCGCGUGAGUGAUGAAGGUCUUCGGAUCGUAAAACUCUGUUAUUAGGGAAGAACAAAUGUGUAAGUAACUAUGCACGUCUUGACGGUACCUAAUCAGAAAGCCACGGCUAACUACGUG